AACGAACGCUGGCGGCAGGCCUAACACAUGCAAGUCGAACGCUGUAGCAAUACAGAGUGGCAGACGGGUGAGUAACGCGUGGGAACCUUCCCAGUGGUGCGGAAUAGCUCAGGGAAACUUGAGGUAAUACCGCAUAAGCCCCUAGGGGGAAAGAUUUAUCGCCAUUGGAUGGGCCCGCGUCGGAUUAGCUAGUUGGUGAGGUAAUGGCUCACCAAGGCAACGAUCCGUAGCUGGUUUGAGAGAAUGACCAGCCACACUGGGACUGAGACACGGCCCAGACUCCUACGGGAGGCAGCAGUGGGGAAUCUUGGACAAUGGGCGCAAGCUUGAUCCAGCCAUGCCGCGUGAGUGACGAAGGCCUUAGGGUUGUAAAGCUCUUUUGCCGGGGACGAUAAUGACGGUACCCGGAGAAUAAGUCCCGGCUAACUUCGUGCCAGCCGCCGCCGUAAAAC
rnacentral:rRNA from 1 species